rnacentral:lncRNA from 1 species
UCUAACCCAGGGAGCCAGCAGGUGCAGCAGGGGAGAGCAGGUGCAGCAGGGGAGAGCAGGGACAGCAGGGGAGAGCAGGUGCAGGAGGGGAGAGCAGGUGCAGCAGGGGAGAACAGGGACAGCAGGGGAGAGCAGGUGCAGCAGGGGAGAGCAGGUGCAGCAGGGGAGAGCAGGGACAGCGGGGGAGAACAGGGACAGCAGGGGAGAGCAGGUGCAGCAGGGGAGAGCAGGGACAGCAGGGGAGAGCAGGGACAGCAGGAGAGAGCAGGUGCAGCACGGGAGAGCAGGUGCAGCAGGGGAGAGCAGGUGCAGCAGGGGAGAGCAGGGACAGCAGGGGAGAACAGGGACAGCAGGGGAGAGCAGGUGCAGCAGGGGAGAGCAGGGACAGCAGGGGAGAGCAGGUGCAGCAGGGGAGAACAGGGACAGUAG